CGCCUGUCUUUUCUGUUCUUUUUUGUUCUUUCUACUUUUGUCUUCUCCGUGAUGGAAAUCAAAGCAAGAGGCCUGUGAAAGCCAGCAAACCGCAGGGAAAUGCUUAGGCUCCCGGGACAGCAGAUGAGGGGUGCGGCUUGGGCCGCUCGCUGCGACGCAAGCUGCUUUCAUCUUCAUUAGCCUUUGUUCUUAUUUCCAGUCAGUACGCGUGCAGUGUUGUUUAAAAAAAGAAAGAAAAAGCAGUGUGUAAAGUUAGAGGCGAAGGGCUCUGUAACUGGAAAGACCACCUCGCGGAAGGACUCAUCAUCAUCCAUGGGGACCUUAUUCUGUAGCUUCACAAAUGAAUUUUAGUGCACUUCCAGAAUUUUGUACCGCGUGAUCCUAAUCAGGAUCCAGACUAGCCGCAUCGCCUCAGAAACCUCCCCGGGCUGCGCCUCUGUGGUGGUGCCCACACCCGCCCUGGCGGCCGUGCUGGGGCCCCUGUCCCUGUAGCUCUGUUUCUGUGAGGUCAUCUUCUGAAGGAAUCAGACAGUGAGUGACCUUUUGGGUCUGGCUUCUUUCACUCCGCAUGAUGUCUUUGAGAUUCCUGCAGGUUGCCGUGUUUCUCAGGUUUGGUUCUUAUAUUUGUGUAUGUCCAUUUUACGUUCUGCACCGCAGUUUGGUUAUCCAUUCACCCCCUCGAGGACCUUUGGGUCAUUCUCAGCGUUUGGCAGUUGGGAGGAGGGUUGCUGUGGUCGUUGCGUGCACAGGUUUAUGUGUGGACAGGAGUGUCCGUUUCUCUGGGGCAGAUACCCGGGCGUGGGAUUGCUGGCUCAGGCGGGAAGUAGAUGUUUAACUUGAUGAGAAACUGCCAGCCCGUUUGCCAGAGGGGCUGUCGCAUGUCUGCGUUUUCCCCAGCGGCAGAUGAGAGUUUGGUAUGCUCCACGGCCUGGGUCCUUAUUUUCACGUGGCCGUCCUGUUAGGUAUGGGUGGCAUCUCACCUGGCUUGGGGGUUUGCAUGUCCCUGAUGGCCAGUAAUGUUGAACACCUUUCUGUGUGCUGCUUGUCAUCCACAUAUCCUCUUUGGCAAAGUGUCUCUUCAGGUCUUUUGAGCAUUUUUAAAUUGGGUUGUUUAUUUUCUAAUUGUUGAGAUGUCUUUUGUCAGCUCUGUGAUUUGCAAAUAUUUUCUUGUCUCCAUUCUCUUGGCAGUAUCUUUCACAGAGCAAAAGUUUUUAAUUUUGAGAAAAAUUAUUAAAUUCUUUUUAUUGAUUAUGCUUUUGGUGCCAUGUCUGGGAACUCAUUGUCAAAUACAAGGUCAUAGAGAUUUUCUCCUAAAUUUUUUUCUACAAGUUUUAUAGUUUUACGUUUAGACCUGUGAUCAGUUUGGAGUUGUUUUAUAUAAGUUAUGAAGUUUAUGGCCAUUUUUUUGUAUAUAGAACAAUUUUUUGCAGUUCUAAGUCAUUUUUUGAAAAGACUACACUUUCUCCCUUGGAUUGCUUUUGCAUUCUUGUCAAAAAGCAAUUGGCCAUGUUUUUGCGAGUCUGUCUCUGGACUCUCUGUUCUGUUCCGUGGUUCUCUAUGUCUGUUCCUUCGCCAGUACUGCACUGUGACAGCUGGAACUUUACACUGUCUGAAAAUCAGAGAAUGCAUUCCCCCAACGUUCUUUUUCAAAAUUGUUAUAGCUGUUUAGUUCCUUUGUACCAAAUUUUAAAAUCGGCUUGUCUAUAUCUACAAGAAAUCCUGCUGGGAUUCUGAUUGCUGUUGUGUUAAAUAACUCAAUUCACCUAUUUGAGGGAGAAUUGGUACCUUUAGUAUAUUCAGUCUCACAAUCCAUGAGUGCAGUAUUUCUCUAUAUGUUUAGGUCACCUUUGAUUUCUUUCUUCUGUCUUUUGUAGUUUUUACCUUGUACAUGUUUUGGCAGAUUUAUACUUAAGCAUUUCUUUUUUUUGAUGCUAUUGUAAAUUGUAUGUUUUCAAUUUUAUUUGGUAGAAUUCACCAGUGAAACUGUCUGAGCCUGGAGAUUUCUUUUUCACAAUAUUGUGAAGUACAAAUUUCAGUUCUUUAAUGGUUACAGGAUUAUUCAGGUUUCCUCUGUCAUCGUGAGUGGGUUUUGGUAGUUCGCUGUUUUGCAGACGCUGAUCCUUUUCCUGUAAGCCAUUGAGUUUCCUGCAGAGUGCCGUCUGUAGCGUGCCCUCACAUCUUUCAGUGUCUGCAGCGUCUGCGCUGACGCCACGCUCUCACUCCUCAUACUGGUCAUUUAUGUCGUCUUUCUUUUUUCUUCAUCAGUCUUGUGAGAAGUUUAUCUAUUUUAUUGAUCUUUACAGAGAAUCAGCUUUUGAUUUCAUUGAUUUUUCUCUAUUGUUUUUCUCUUUGUAAUUUCAUUGAUUUCUGCUCUUGUCUCUAAUAUUUCCUUCUCCAUGAUUUGGGUUUAUUUUUCUCUUUUCCUAGUUUCUUAAGGUAGAAACUGAAGAUACUGAUUUGAAACCAUUCUUCUUUUCUGAUAUAAACACGCUAUAAAUCUCUCUCUAGACACUGGUUUAGCUAUGUCCCACAAUUGGUACGUUGGAUUGUUGUUUUUGUUCAAAGUAUUUUCAAAUUUCCCUCGAGAUUUCCUUUUGGCCCGUGGAUUAUUUAAUAAAAGUGUGUUGAUUAAUUUCUAAAUGUUUGCAGAUUUUUCUGUUGUCUUGUGGCCAUUGAUUUUUAAUUUCAUUCCGUUAAUGUCUGAGAAUAUGAGAAUAUAUUGCGUAUAAUGUCAGUUCUUUAAAAUUUGUUAAAGUUUUUUUUUUUUAAAGAUUUUAUUUUUUUUCCUUUUUCUCCCCAAAGCCCCCCAGUACAUAGUUGUAUAUUCUUCGUUGUGGGUCCUUCUAGUUGUGGCAUGUGGGACACUGCCUCAAUGUGGUUUGAUGAGCAGUGCCAUGUCAUUUGCAUUGCACUCUCUUCAUUCCCAAUUUUCCAGGUUUCCUUCUGGAAUCAUUUCCCUUCCACCUAAAAAACUUUUUUUUAGCAAUUCUUUCAGAACAGGUGUACUGGCUACAAAUUCCCUUGUUUUUCCGUCCUCUGAGAAUGUCUUUAUUUUACCUUCAUUCCUGACUGAUAUCUACACUGGAUAUCCAAUUCUGGGUUGACAGUUCUCUUUUAGCACCUUAAAAACGUUGUGCCACUUCCUUCUAGGCUCACAGUUUCUGGUGAGAAGUCCAGUCGCUCAAAUCCAUGCCCCCCGUAGGCAGCACAUUGUUCUCUCUGGCUGCUUCCCAGGUUUCCCUUUGUCUUUAGUUUUAAGCAGAUAGAUUAUAAUGUGUCCAGGUUUGGGUAUCUUUGGGUUUCUACUGUUUGGGUUUUCUUGAAUCUGCAGGUUUAUGUCUUUCACCAAACUUGCAGUGUUCCCAGCCAUUAUUUCCUCAAAUAUAGUUGAUCAUUUCACUCUUUCUCUUUUCCUUCUGUGCUCCAGUGACACGAACGCCAGCCUUUUCUUAUCGCCCCAGAGUCCCUGAAGCUGUUUAUUUUAUUCCACUGUUUUGCUCUCUGUUGUUUAGAUUGGAUAAUUUCCAUUGCUCUUUCUUCAAGUUCACUGGCUUCUCCCUGUGUUGUCUCCAUUCUGCUCUUGAGCCCAUCCAGCAAGUUUUUAAUUUCAGUUAUGGUAUUCCUCAGUUCUGAAAUUUCCAUUUGAUUUUCUUCCUAUCAUCUGUUUCUUUGCUGAGACUUUCUAUUUUAACAUGUGUUGCAAGAGUGUUUGCCAUUUUUAUCAUAGCUGAUUAAAGUCUUUGUCAUAUAAUCCAAA